rnacentral:rRNA from 1 species
GAUGAACGCUGGCGGCGUGCCUAAUACAUGCAAGUCGAGCGAAUGGAUUAAGAGCUUGCUCUUAUGAAGUUAGCGGCGGACGGGUGAGUAACACGUGGGUAACCUGCCCAUAAGACUGGGAUAACUCCGGGAAACCGGGGCUAAUACCGGAUAACAUUUUGAACCGCCUGGUUCGAACUUGAAAGGCGGCUUCGGCUGUAACUUAUGGAUGGACCCGCGUCGCAUUAGCUAGUUGGUGAGGUAACGGCUCACCAAGGGAACGAUGCGUAGCCGACCUGAGAGGGUGAGCGGCCACACUGGGACUGAGACACGGCCCAGACUCCUACGGGAGGCAGCAGUAGGGAAUCUUCCGCAAUGGACGAAAGUCUGACGGAGCAACGCCGCGUGAGUGAUGAAGGCUUUCGGGUCGUAAAACUCUGUUGUUAGGGAAGAACAAGUGCUAGUUGAAUAAGCUGGCACCUUGACGGUACCUAACCAGAAAGCCACGGCUAACUACGUGCCAGCCGCCGCGGUAA